AGAGUUUGAUCCUGGCUCAGAUUGAACGCUGGCGGCAUGCCUUACACAUGCAAGUCGAACGGCAGCAUAGAAGAGCUUGCUCUUCUGAUGGCGAGUGGCGAACGGGUGCCUAAAGCAUCGGAACGUACCGUGUAGUGGGGGAUAACGUAGCGAAAGUUACGCUAAUACCGCAUACGCACUGAGGUGGAAAGCAGGGGAUCGCAAGACCUUGCGCUAUACGAGCGGCCGAUGUCAGAUUAGCUAGUUGGUAGGGUAAAGGCCUACCAAGGCGACGAUCUGUAGCGGGUCUGAAAGGAUGAUCCGCCACACUGGGACUGAGAC
rnacentral:rRNA from 1 species